rnacentral:rRNA from 1 species
AUUGAACGCUGGCGGCAGGCCUAACACAUGCAAGUCGAGCGGAGCGGCGGACGGGUGAGUGAUGCCUAGGAAUCUGACUGGUAGUGGGGGAUAGCGUACGGAAACGGGCGCUAAUACCGCAUAAUAUCGGAUGAGCCUAGGUCGGAUUAGCUAGUUUGUGGGGUAAAGGCCUACCAAGGCGACGAUCCGUAACUGGUCUGGGAGGAUGAUCAGUCACACUGGAACUGAGACACGGUCCAGACUCCUACGGGAGUCAGCAGUGGGGAAUAUUGGACAAUGGGCGAAAGCCUGAUCCAGCCAUGCCGCGUGGGUGAAGAAGGUCUUCGGAUUGUAAAGCACUUUAAGUUGGGAGGCGUUACCAACAGAAUAAGCACCGGCUAACUUCGUGCCAGCAGCCGCGGUAAUAC